rnacentral:rRNA from 1 species
CCUGGUUGAUCCUGCCAGUGAUAUUUGCUUGUUUAAAAGAUUAAGCCAUGCAAAUAUGAGAAAACGAAUUUAUUUUCGGAUUCUGUGGAUGGCUUUGUAAAAAUGCGGUAACGAAAGCGAGAGGAAAAAAGCAGGGGAUAACGACGUGAAAAAUGUCGAUAAUACCAGUAGCUACUUAAGAACACUAUGAUGAAUCAUUGUUCUUACAAAAGGGUUUUAACAAAGACCCACUCUUUGCAUCGGCCGUAUAUCUAUUAGAGUAGAAGGAUGUGUAUUGAACAUUCUUGCUGUUGAUGGAUACGGAGAAUUAGGGUUCGAUUCCGGAGAGGGAGCAUGAGAAAUGGCUACUACAUCUAAGGGUGGCAGCAGGCGCGAAAAUUGCCCAAUACAGACUCUGUGAGGCAGUGACAAAACAUAACAAUGACGUGGUUGAUAAAACUAUGUCAAUUGGAAUGAGAACGAUUGAAAAGAUUUAACGAGAAACAAGAAGAGGGCAAGUCUGGUGCCAGCAGCCGCGGUAAUACCAGCUCUUCUAGCAUAUAUUAAAGUUGCUGCAGUUAAAACGCUCGUAGUUUGAAUUAUUUCGGUGGCAGGCUGGCUGGAAAAUUUAAUUUUUCAAGCUGUCUGGUGCCGAAUUAAAGUUUGGGUAGAGCAGAUUAAUUUCUCUCUAUCCAUUUAACCUUGAAAAAACAUUGUCGCUCAAAAAAGGACGGAAAAGUCUAUUGAGAUUUCAGCAUGGGAUUAUGAAAAAAGGGGGGCGGGUUUUGAGAGGGGGUAAAAGCCCGAUUGGCUCGUUUCCAAUGGUUAAUGAGGACGAUGCGUGGGAGUUCAUAUUAAUAAGUCAGAGGUGAAAUUCUUGGAUUUUAUUAAGAUGAACAUCAGCGAAGGCGUUCUUCAAGUGCGGGCCUGUCGAUCAAGAACGAAAGUUGGGGGAUCGAAGACGAUCAGAUACCGUCGUAGUCUCAACCUUAAACUAUGCCGACUAUGAAUAGGAUAUCGUUUUAAGAAGGGCGUCAAAAACCCUUCUGAUGACUUCUCCUGCGCAUUAAAAGAAAUUAAGAGUUUUUGGGUUCCGGGGGGAGUAUAGUCGCAAGGCCGAAACUUAAAGGAAUUGACGGAAGGGCACCACCAGGUGUGGAGCCUGCGGCUUAAUUUGACCCAACACGGGGAAACUUACCAGGUCCAGACAGCGCGAGGAUUGACAGAUUGAUAGCUCUUUCAUGAUUCGUUGGGUGGUGGUGCAUGGCCGUUCUUAGUUGGUGGUGUGAGUUGUCUGGUUGAUUCCGUUAACGAACGAGACCUUCGUUGUAUAAUACGAGGCGCUAGUUUUUGC